rnacentral:rRNA from 1 species
UACGUAGGGUGCGAGCGUUUGUCCGGAAUUACUGGGCGUAAAGAGCUUGUAGGUGGUUUGUCGCGUUGUUCGUGAAUCUCACGGCUUAACUGUGAGCGUGCGGGCGAUACGGGCAGACUAGAGUACUGGCAGGGGAGACUGGAAUUCCUGGUGUAGCGGUGGAAUGCGCAGAUAUCAGGAGGAACACCGGUGGCGAAGGCGGGUCUCUGGGCAGUAACUGACGUGGAGAAGCGAAAGCGUGGGGAGCGAACAGG